GACGAACGCUGGCGGCGUGCUUAACACAUGCAAGUCGAACGGUAAGGCCCUUCGGGGUACACGAGUGGCGAACGGGUGAGUAACACGUGGGUGAUCUGCCCUGCACUUCGGGAUAAGCCUGGGAAACUGGGUCUAAUACCGGAUAGGACCAUUGCCUGCAUGGGUGGUGGUGGAAAGCUUUUGCGGUGUGGGAUGGGCCCGCGGCCUAUCAGCUUGUUGGUGGGGUGAUGGCCUACCAAGGCGACGACGGGUAGCCGGCCUGGGAGGGUGACCGGCGACACUGGGACUGAGAUACGGCCCAGACUCCGACGGGAGGCAGCAGUGGGGAAUAUUGCACAAUGGGCGCAAGACUGAUGCAGCGACGCCGCGUGGGGGAUGACGGCCUUCGGGUUGUAAACCUCUCUCAGCACCGACGAAGCGCAAGUGACGGUAGGUGCAGAAGAAGGACCGGCCAACUACGUGCCAGCCGCCGCAGUAA
rnacentral:rRNA from 1 species